rnacentral:lncRNA from 1 species
GAUAUGGAGGUAUAUCUUUCGAUACGGAGGUGUAUCUUUUGAUACACUUCUUCGAUUUUCGAAUAAAUUAUUUCUACACAUUUUAUUCGAUGAUACGGAGCUAUAGAUACCUCCAACCCAUCAAUUAGACGGUUAGAUUAAAUUUUUAGCCUUUAGAUCUCCUUCUCUGAUUCAAGCCUAAAUAUAUGAAACUUCUAAAUAUGAAAACUUAAAAUAAAUAAAAGUAUUUACUAAUAAAAUUAUCUGAU